rnacentral:rRNA from 1 species
UACGGAGGAUCCAAGCGUUAUCCGGAAUCAUUGGGUUUAAAGGGUCCGUAGGCGGCCUUAUAAGUCAGUGGUGAAAUCUCACGGCUCAACCGUGAAAUUGCCAUUGAUACUGUAGGGCUUGAAUGGCUGUGAAGUAACUAGAAUAUGUAGUGUAGCGGUGAAAUGCUUAGAUAUUACAUGGAAUACCGAUUGCGAAGGCAGGUUACUAACAGUUUAUUGACGCUGAUGGACGAAAGCGUGGGUAGCGAACAGG